rnacentral:rRNA from 1 species
AGACGUCUACAUUAGAUACCCCUGUAGUCCCAGCCGUAAACUAUGCGCGUCAGGUGUAUCGGUGACCACGAGUCACCGAGGUGCCGAAGGGAAACCGUGAAACGUGCCGCCUGGGAAGUACGGUCGCAAGGCUGAAACUUAAAGGAAUUGGCGGGGAGCACCACAACGGGUGGAGCCUGCGGUUUAAUUGGACUCAACGCCGGGAAGCUCACCGGAUAAGACAGCGGAAUGAUUGCCGGGCUGAAGACUCUGCAUGACUAGCUG